rnacentral:rRNA from 1 species
GUAGGUGGCAAGCGUUGUCCGGAAUUAUUGGGCGUAAAGCGCGCGCAGGUGGUUCUUUAAGUCUGAUGUGAAAGCCCCCGGCUCAACCGGGGAGGGUCAUUGGAAACUGGGGAACUUGAGUGCAGGAGAGGAAAGUGGAAUUCCACGUGUAGCGGUGAAAUGCGUAGAUAUGUGGAGGAACACCAGUGGCGAAGGCGACUUUCUGGCCUGUAACUGACACUGAGGCGCGAAAGCGUGGGGAGCAAACAGGGAUUAGAUACCCUGGUAGUCCACGCCGUAAACGAUGAGUGCUAAGUGUUGGGGGGGUUUCCCGCCCCUCAGUGCUGCAGCUAACGCAUUAAGCACUCCGCCUGGAGAGUACGGUCGCAAGACUG